rnacentral:rRNA from 1 species
CGCUGGCGGCACGCCUAACACAUGCAAGUCGAACGGAGAUUGAGAGCUUGCUCUUAAAUCUUAGUGGCGGACGGGUGAGUAACACGUGAGCAACCUGCCUCUGAGAGAGGGAUAGCUUCUGGAAACGGAUGGUAAUACCUCAUAACAUUACAUGACCGCAUGAUCGUGUAAUCAAAGAUUUAUCACUCAGAGAUGGGCUCGCGUCUGAUUAGCUAGUUGGUGAGGUAACGGCCCACCAAGGCGACGAUCAGUAGCCGGACUGAGAGGUUGAACGGCCACAUUGGGACUGAGACACGGCCCAGACUCCUACGGGAGGCAGCAGUGAGGGAUAUUGCACAAUGGAGGAAACUCUGAUGCAGCGAUGCCGCGUGGAGGAAGAAGGUUUUCGGAUUGUAAACUCCUGUUUCGAGGGACGAUAAUGACGGUACCUCGGGAGGAAGCUCCGGCUAACUACGUGCCAGCCGCGGC